CCGCAACGUACUUGAUCAAGAGGAAGCCAGGACAAGAGCUGCCACUAGCGCUUUGCUGACAACGUAUGCUGUACCAGCUAUGGUGGCUUUUAGGCAUCUAGCAACAGUCUUCUUUGCAACCGUUGCACUGCCGAAAUCCAAAGCCUGGGCCACAGGCGAGUUGUAUUGCGAGCGCUUGCUUCCUCUGUCAAUAACAUCUGCUGUGACUCCGUGCAUGUUUCCAUGCUUAUGGAGGUCACCAAACAAUCCGCAACCUAAAAUAAUUCUGCAGACAGAGGCAGAUGGCUGACCU
rnacentral:lncRNA from 1 species